rnacentral:rRNA from 1 species
AUUGAACGCUGGCGGCAUGCUUUACACAUGCAAGUCGGACGGUAACAGGCCGCAAGGUGCUGACGAGUGGCGAACGGGUGAGUAAUGCAUCGGAACGUGCCCAGUCGUGGGGGAUAACGCAGCGAAAGCUGCGCUAAUACCGCAUACGAUCUGUGGAUGAAAGCGGGGGACCGAAAGGCCUCGCGCGAUUGGAGCGGCCGAUAUCAGAUUAGCUAGUUGGUGGGGUAAAAGCUUACCAAGCCGACGAUCUGUAGCUGGUCUGAGCGGACGACCAGCCACACGGGGACUGAGACACGGCCCAGACUCCUACGGGAGGCAGCAGUGGGGAAGUUUGGACAAGGGGCGAAAGCCUGAUCCAGCCAUGCCGCGUGCAGGAUUAAGGCCUUCGGGUUGUAAACUGCUUUUGUACGGAACGAAAAGCCUCUUUCUAAUAAAGAGAGGUCAUGACGGUACCGUAAGAAUAAGCACCGGCUAACUACGUGCCAGCCGCCGCAGUAAAAC